rnacentral:rRNA from 1 species
UGGGGAAUUUUGCACAAUGGGGGAAACCCUGAUGCAGCGACGCCGCGUGAUUUAGAAGGCCUUCGGGUUGUAAAAAUCUUUUUUAUGGGAUGAAAAUGACAGUACCAUAAGAAAAAGCCCCGGCUAACUACGUGCCAGCAGCCGCGGUAAUACGUAGGGGGCUAGCGUUGUCCGGAAUCACUGGGCGUAAAGGGUUCGCAGGCGGAAAUGCAAGUCAGGUGUAAAAGGCAGUAGCUUAACUACUGUAAGCAUUUGAAACUGCAUAUCUUGAGAAGAGUAGAGGUAAGUGGAAUUUUUAGUGUAGCGGUGAAAUGCGUAGAUAUUAAAAAGAAUACCGGUGGCGAAGGCGACUUACUGGGCUCAUUCUGACGCUGAGGAACGAAAGCGUGGGUAGCAAACAGG